rnacentral:rRNA from 1 species
UGCCAGCCGCCGCGGUAAUACGGAGGGGGCAAGCGUUAUUCGGAUUUACUGGGCGUAAAGGGCGCGUAGGCGGCCCGGUCAGUGAGAAGUGAAAGCCCUCGGCUCAACCGAGGAACGGCUUCUCAUACUGCCGAGCUUGAGUAUGGGAGAGGGAAGUGGAAUUUCUGGUGUAGCGGUGAAAUGCGUAGAUAUCAGAAGGAACACCAGUGGCGAAGGCGGUCUACCAGAACACGUCCGACGGUGAGGGAUGAAAGCUGGGGGAGCAAACCGGAUUAGAUA